rnacentral:rRNA from 1 species
CCUCCUUUCUUCCUCCUUUUUGCCUCUUGCGCCAUGGGCGCACGCCUGCCGCAGCGACGCCGCGUGAGGGAUGAAGGUCUUCGGAUCGUAAACCUCUGUCAGCAGGGAAGAACGGUCACUGUGCUAAUCAGCAGUGAAUUGACGGUACCUGCAAAGGAAGCACCGGCUAACUCCGUGCCAGCAGCCGCGGUAAUACGGAGGGUGCGAGCGUUAAUCGGAAUUACUGGGCGUAAAGCGCUCGUAGGCGGUAUGUCAAGUCAAGGGUGAAAUCCCCGCGCUCAACGUGGGAACUGCCUUUGAAACUGGCAAACUGGAGUGUGUGAGAGGAUAGUGGAAUUCCAGGUGUAGGAGUGAAAUCCGUAGAUAUCUGGAGGAACAUCAGUGGCGAAGGCGACUAUCUGGCACAUAACUGACGCUGAGGAGCGAAAGCGUGGGUAGCAAACAGGAUUAGAUACCCCUGUAGUC